UGGGUCCAAUGCGGAAGCCUUUGCAUCCACCACAAAAGUGGAGGAUCGAGCGACAGUAAACAAAUCGAUCCGCAUGCAAGUUAGCCCCAGCGGCUGGCGACACUUUCGAAUUGCGGGGACACCCUAAAGCCAUCCACACCAAGCCAGCGUGGGAAACCUGCUGGUGGCUCGCGAUAACGACGCGAGGUACGGUAAAAGUGGGAUGCGAUGACCCUCGAGCGCCAGCGCUCCAGGUGAAAUGGGCAAUCCGCAGCGAAGCCCCUUCUGUCUCGGUGGUAGACCCAGUCUCCGUCGGCGCAUGGGGAACGUUCACAGACUAAGUGGAAGUGGGUGGGGCCUCGCGCCCUGCUUAAGAUAUAGUCGGGCCCUCUGGGAAACCUUGGGGAUGUGUAGACGACGUCUACGCAGGAACCGUUCCGUAGGUGAACCUGCGGAAGGAUCAUUA
rnacentral:ncRNA from 1 species